UGGGGAAUAUUGCACAAUGGGCGCAAGCCUGAUGCAGCAACGCCGCGUGAGGGACGAAGGCCUUCGGGUUGUAAACCUCUUUUAGUAGGGAAGAAGCGAAAGUGACGGUACCUGCAGAAAAAGCACCGGCUAACUACGUGCCAGCAGCCGCGGUAAUACGUAGGGUGCAAGCGUUAUCCGGAAUUAUUGGGCGUAAAGAGCUCGUAGGCGGUUUGUCGCGUCUGCUGUGAAAACUGGGGGCUCAACCCCCAGCCUGCAGUGGGUACGGGCAGACUAGAGUGCGGUAGGGGAGAUUGGAAUUCCUGGUGUAGCGGUGGAAUGCGCAGAUAUCAGGAGGAACACCGAUGGCGAAGGCAGAUCUCUGGGCCGUAACUGACGCUGAGGAGCGAAAGCAUGGGGAGCGAACA
rnacentral:rRNA from 1 species